UACGUAGGGUGCGAGCGUUGUCCGGAAUUAUUGGGCGUAAAGAGCGUGUAGGCGGUUCGGUAAGUCUGCCGUGAAAACCUGGGGCUCAACCCUGGGCGUGCGGUGGAUACUGCCGGGCUAGAGGGUGGUAGAGGCGAGUGGAAUUCCCGGUGUAGCGGUGAAAUGCGCAGAUAUCGGGAGGAACACCAGUAGCGAAGGCGGCUCGCUGGGCCAUUCCUGACGCUGAGACGCGAAAGCUAGGGGAGCGAACAGG
rnacentral:rRNA from 1 species